rnacentral:rRNA from 1 species
UCCUGCGAAGCAGACGACCCGAGAACAUGUUUAACAAACGGGUGUCCGGGACGAGGGAAACCACGGACCGGUGCCCUGAGCACGGUGUCGACCUUAGGUUGCUCGUCGUGCACACAAACAACCCCGGGCGCAUAAAAGUGCCAAGGAAAACAAGAAAGGGAUGGCUUGCCUCUCGACGCUCCGUUUGCGGAGUGCACGGGAGGGCAACAGGCACCUGAAGAAACAAAAACGACUCUCGGCAACGGAUAUCUCGGCUCUCGCAUCGAUGAAGAACGUAGCGAACUGCGAUACUUGGUGUGAAUUGCAGAAUCCCGUGAACCAUCGAGUCUUUGAACGCAAGUUGCGCCCGAAGCCAUUAGGCCGAGGGCACGUCUGCCUGGGCGUCACGCAUCGCGUCGCCCCCCGACCCCGUGUGUUAACUCGUACGGGUGACGUGAGGGGGCGGAAACUGGCUUCCCGUGCUUGGCUGCGGCUGGCCUAAAUGCGAGUCCCUUGCGACGGACGCGACGACAAGUGGUGGUUGUUUGUCUCAACUAAGGUGCUGUCGCGCGACGCCCGUCGAAUGAGGAGACUCCCCGACCCUGAUGCACGCGUCUUCACGACGCUUGCUACGACCGCGACCCCAGGUCAGGCGGG